rnacentral:misc_RNA from 1 species
UUUCCGUAGGUGAACCUGCGGAAGGAUCAUUAAUGAGUUGUCAUGGGGUUCGAUGCUGGCAGCCAAUUUUUGGAUGCAUGUGCUUGCCCUAACAAUCAUCUUCCAAACACCUGUGCACAUUUUUGAGGGAGUCUUGGGUUGGUUGCCGCUCUUGGGUGAUUUUCUCACAUUCCCUUAAAUCAUUAUACGCUAUUAACAAUGUUGAACGUGCUCUGUGCCGCAAGGCUAUUAAUAUGAUACAACUUUUAACAACGGAUCUCUUGGCUCUC